rnacentral:rRNA from 1 species
GAUGAACGCUGGCGGCGUGCCUAACACAUGCAAGUCGAGCGAUUCUCUUCGGAGAAGAGCGGCGGACGGGUGAGUAACGCGUGGGUAACCUGCCCUGUACACACGGAUAACAUACCGAAAGGUAUGCUAAUACGAGAUAAUAUGCUUUUAUCGCAUGGUAGAAGUAUCAAAGCUUUUGCGGUACAGAAUGGACCCGCGUCUGAUUAGUUAGUGGGUAAGGUAACGGCUUACCAAGGCGACGAUCAGUAGCCGACCUGAGAGGGUGAUCGGCAACAUUGGAACUGAGACACGGUCCAAACUCCUACGGUAGGCAGCAGUGGGGAAUAUUGCACAAUGGGCGAAAGCCUGAUGCAGCAACGCCGCGUGAGCGAUGAAGGCCUUCGGGUCGUAAAGCUCUGUCCUCAAGGAAGAUAAUGAUGGUACUUGAGGAGGAAGCCCCGGCUAACUACGUGCCAGCCGCCGCCGUAA